GGAUGUAAGGGGAUCUGGCUGUGCCAUCUGUCACCUCACUGAUCGCCAGGGCUGAUAUGGCUAAUCUGGCUGGUUAGGGGGAUAUCUGCUUCCCCCCUCAUGCUCGAUGUGUGCCCCCUAUCUCCUCCAGCCCUCCAUAAACUGUGCACUGGGUCAAAGAGAAUGACCUUCCCCAGAUAAAGAUGGGCAGCCUCUGGGUACAAGAGUAGCUGUGCUUCCCUGCUAGAGCCUUGACACAACCUCUCGUAUACAUUUAGAUCAUCUGACUACUUCUAGAAACUUUUUUUUUUUCAGUGGUACUAAUUUGAGUUCACUGAUGGAA
ensembl:misc_RNA 7SK 7SK RNA